rnacentral:rRNA from 1 species
UACGUAGGGUGCGAGCGUUAAUCGGAAUUACUGGGCGUAAAGCGUGCGCAGGCGGUUUCGUAAGACAGAUGUGAAAUCCCCGGGCUUAACCUGGGAACUGCGUUUGUGACUGCGAGACUCGAGUGUGGCAGAGGGGGGUGGAAUUCCGCGUGUAGCAGUGAAAUGCGUAGAUAUGCGGAGGAACACCGAUGGCGAAGGCAAUCCCCUGGGCCUGCACUGACGCUCAUGCACGAAAGCGUGGGGAGCAAACAGG